UUUAUAGCUUGCUAUGAUGAAAAUUAGUGGCAGACGGGUGAGUAAUGCAUAGGAAUCUACCUAGUAGUAUGGGAUAGCCACUAGAAAUGGUGGGUAAUACUGUAUAAUCCCUGCGGGGGAAAGAUUUAUCGCUAUUAGAUGAGCCUAUGUUAGAUUAGCUAGUUGGUAGGGUAAAGGCCUACCAAGGCAGUGAUCUAUAGCUGGUCUGAGAGGAUGAUCAGCCACACUGGAACUGAGAUACGGUCCAGACUCCUACGGGAGGCAGCAGUGGGGAAUAUUGGACAAUGGGCGCAAGCCUGAUCCAGCUAUGCCGCGUGAGUGAGGAAGGCCUUAGGGUUGUAAAACUCUUUCAGUGGGGAAGAUAAUGACGGUACCCACAGAAGAAGUCCC
rnacentral:rRNA from 1 species